rnacentral:rRNA from 1 species
AUUGAACGCUGGCGGCAUGCCUUACACAUGCAAGUCGAACGGCAGCACGGGAGCAAUCCUGGUGGCGAGUGGCGAACGGGUGAGUAAUACAUCGGAACGUGCCCAGUAGUGGGGGAUAGCCCGGCGAAAGCCGGAUUAAUACCGCAUACGACCUGAGGGUGAAAGCGGGGGAUCGCAAGACCUCGCGCUAUUGGAGGGGCCGAUAUCAGAUUAGCUAGUUGGUGGGUUAACGGCCUACCAAGGCGACGAUCUGUAGCUGGCCUGAGAGGACGACCAGCCACACUGGGACUGAGACACGGCCCAGACUCCUACGGGAGGCAGCAGUGGGGAAUUUUGGACAAUGGGCGCGAGCCUGAUCCAGCCAUGCCGCGUGCGGGAAGAAGGCCUUCGGGUUGUAAACCGCUUUUGUCAGGGAAGAAACGGCUCUUGCUAAUAUCGAGAGCUAAUGACGGUACCUGAAGAAUAAGCACCGGCUAACUACGUGCCAGCCGCCGCAGUAAUAC